GAUGGAAGAACGUAGCGAAAUGCGAUAAGUAAUGUGAAUUGCAGAAUUCAGUGAAUCAUCGAAUCUUUGAACGCACCUUGCGCUCCUUGGUAUUCCGAGGAGCAUGCCUGUUUGAGUGUCAUGAAAUUCUCAACCUUUUCAGCUUUCUUUGUUGAUCAGGCUUGGAUGUGGGAGUAUGCGGGCUUCUCAGAAGUCGGCUCUCCUGAAAUGCAUUAGCGGGACCUUUGUUGCCUGGCUUUGGUGUGAUAAUUAUCUACGCCAUUGUAGUCAAGCAGCUUAAAAUGAGGUUUCAGCUUCUAACCGUCUCCCCUGAGACAACUUUUUGACAAUUUGACCUCAAAUCAGGUAGGACUACCCGCUGAACUUAAGCAUAUCAAUAAGCGGAGGA
rnacentral:misc_RNA from 1 species